ensembl:lncRNA PWRN4 Prader-Willi region non-protein coding RNA 4
UUCCUCCAGACCACGCCCACCGAUGCCGGCAGCAGCUGGUGCAGCGGAGCUCAGAUCCUCUCUGUGGGGUCUGCACCGGCAAGGGCAGCUGCUCCCUGCCUUUCCUCAGGAGUCAGUGGAGCUCCCCUUUACCUUCUGCUAUUGAGUGGAAGCAGCCUGAGGCCCUCAAAAGAUGCAGAUGCCGGCACCGUGUUUCUUGCACAGCCUGCAGAAUCAUAAGCCUAUUUGUCCUUACUAUACCUUCCAGUAAAAUGUUAAAAAUAGAAGUGGCAAGAGUGGACAACUUUCAAGUAAAUUAUGAUGUUAUGUUUAGACAUAUGCACCAGUGAAUCCUAACAACAAACACAUGAGCUUGGAAGGGGAUCCUUUUCCAAGUGAGCCUUCAGUUGAGAGCCCAGCCCUGGCCAUCAUCUAAUCUGGAUUCCUGGCCCAGAGAAACUGAAGCAAAUCCUAGGAACAAUCACGUGAGCUUGGAAGGAGACCUUUCCCCAGCUGAGCCUCAGCCUGGGCCAUCACCUGCAUCUGGACUGAAGACCCAAAGAAACUACUCCAUCAGGAAUUGUUUGAGACCAUGCAUUAUGUGGACACUCAUAUCGUGGAAUUAUAUUGCCAAUUGGCAUUCCUAAAGCUUCUACGCUAGCAGGUUUGGAGUAAUUCACCAGUGAAGUCUUCUCAACCUGGGCAAUCAUGUGAGCUUGGAAGAUGAUGCAUCCCCAUCUCAUCUUUCAGGUGAAACCUCAGCCUUGGCCAUCACCUACAUCUGGAUUUCUGACCCAGAGAAACUGCUGGAGUACAGUGGCAUGAUUUCAGCUUACCGCAAACUCUGCCUCCUGGAUUCAAACCAUCCUCCGGCCUCAGCCUCCUGAGUAGCUGGGGCAACAGGUGUGAAGGCUGGUCUUAAACUCCUGACCUCAAGUGAUGGACCUGUCUUGGCUUCCAAAAGUGCUGGAAUUACAGGCAUGAGCCACCAUGCCCUGCUAUGAGGUCUUGUUCCUUUGGCCAGGCUGGAGUGCAGUGGCACAGUCAUCACUCACUGUAGCUUCAAACACCUGGGUUCCAGCAUUCAUCCCACUUCAGCCUCCCGUGUAGCCGGGACUACAGAUCCCUACCUUUUUUGUUGGAGAAUGAAAUUUAAAAUGAAGAUUUGGGCACUCAUUGGUUGUACACAUUGUUACUGGUGAACGUGUUGAUUGGAGGCCUUCCUAGCUAACAGAGCAAAGAGUAAAUAUACACAUAUGUUUACAAAUUUCUACAAGUCUCCAUAUGUAUCUGCAUUAAAUUAAACAUGAAUUCCUGCAGCGUCCUCAGUCCCACACGAUCUUAUUCAGCACCAUGUGAAUCUGUCUACCCAUCUCACUAAUCUAUAUGUAGCCUACCACUGUAAUAUUUAACCACCUGAAAAUGCAGGCAUAGUGGUUUCAGAAUAAGAAACACACAACCCCAUGAGAAACACCCUUACCACCUGUUUAUGUAUACCAACUGCUUAUGUAUAAAUCCUUUAGCCUUUAGACAGAAUCUGCACUUAUUAUGCAAGUUGCUUAGGAAGGCUUAUUUUUCCCCUUCCUUCAGUGGAUUAUUUCAUAGAUUUGUAUAAAGUAUUUUCUCUGCAUUUCUUCCUGGACUGUUCCUAUCUACUAAAUAAGUUAUUUUGUUAAUUUACAUACUUUUAGCUUCACUCUUUGUGUUAUAAAGUUUUCUGGGAGUUGAAAAACUGUACCUUUUAUCCACGUUACAGUAGCAUACAUAAUAAUAUACAAAGAGAAAUUUUCUAUCUUUACAGAUUUGUCUUUCCUUUUUGCUGAGACCCGGGUAACCAAUAAACUCUUUACUGUCUUUAUACUUA